rnacentral:rRNA from 1 species
CUACGGAGGGUGCAAGCGUUAAUCGGAAUUACUGGGCGUAAAGGGUGCGUAGGUUGUUGUAUAAGUUAGUUGUGAAAUACCUGUGCUUAACGCGGGGGUGUCAACUAGUACUGUAUGACUUGAGUAAAGCAGAGGGUGGUAGAAUUUCCGGUGUAGCGGUGAAAUGCGUAGAGAUCGGAAGGAAUACCGGUGGCGAUGGCGUCCACCUGGGCUAUUACUGACACUGAGGCACGAAAGCGUGGGUAGCAAACAGGAUUAGAUACCCUGGUAGUCCACGCUGUAAACGAUGUCAACUAGCUGUUUGAUACAUUAGAUAUUGGGUAGCGCAGCCAACGCGAUAAGUUGACCGCCUGGGGAGUACGGUCGCAAGAUUAAA